UUAAGUUCAGCGGGUAUCCUCACCUGAUCCGAGGUCAAACUUUGGGAUGUGAUUGCCUGGCGGGCGCGCCGCGGACUCCUGAAGCGAAAUUUUUGCUACGCUUGAAGCCAGACUGCACCGCCAGCGGGUUACGGACAGGUCACUCGACCGCGUCCAAGACCAAGCUGGGCUUGAUGGUUUAAAUGACGCUCGAACAGGCG
rnacentral:misc_RNA from 1 species